UACGUAGGUGGCAAGCGUUGUCCGGAAUUAUUGGGCGUAAAGCGCGCGCAGGCGGCCUUUUAAGUCUGAUGUGAGAUCUUGCGGCUCAACCGCAAGCGGCCAUUGGAAACUGGGAGGCUUGAGUACAGAAGAGGAGAGUGGAAUUCCACGUGUAGCGGUGAAAUGCGUAGAUAUGUGGAGGAACACCAGUGGCGAAGGCGACUCUCUGGUCUGUAACUGACGCUGAGGCGCGAAAGCGUGGGGAGCAAACAGG
rnacentral:rRNA from 1 species